rnacentral:rRNA from 1 species
UACAGAGGGGGCAAGCGUUUGUUCGGAAUUACUGGGCGUAAAGGGCGCGUAGGCGGCCUUCUAAGUCGAACGUGAAAUCCCCGGGCUCAACCCGGGAACUGCGUCCGAUACUAACAGGCUUGAAUCCGGGAGAGGGAUGUGGAAUUCCAGGUGUAGCGGUGAAAUGCGUAGAUAUCUGGAGGAACACCGGUGGCGAAGGCGGCAUCCUGGACCGGUAUUGACGCUGAUGCGCGAAAGCCAGGGGAGGCAAACGGG